GCGUCCGUAGCUCAGUUGGUUAGAGCACCACCUUGACAUGGUGGGGGUCAGUGGUUCGAAUCUGCUCGGACGCACCA
rnacentral:tRNA from 1 species